rnacentral:lncRNA from 1 species
GUGGAUUGGGAGUUUGAGAUUAGUAGAUGCAAACCACUAAAUAUAGGAUGGAAAAACGAGGCCCUCCUGGGUAGCACAGGGAACUAUAUUCAAUAUCCCGUGAUAAACGGCAAUGGAAAUGGGAAAAAAAUACGAAAAAGAAUCUGUAUGUGUAUGUAUGUGUGAAUACACGGUGUCACUCUGCUGGGCAGAGAAAUGAACACGACACUGUAAAUCCACUAUACUUCAAUAAAGUAUUUUUUCAGGGGAAGGAAAAAAAGGGCGUCAGGAUUUUACUGCCCCUGGAGUGAGUCACUAUGUGGGCAGUUCAGCAGGUAGGGGAGGAGGCCUGGGUUCCAGAGUCCACAGCCCCAACUGGAGGCAGAAAAGGAGCCCAUCCGCCUCGGAUGCUGCGGCUCCUCCUGCGCUCCACCCCCAGACUCAGGAGCCACCCCCUCAAGCCCAUCCUUGGGGAGCCCCAGCAUCUUAGGGCCACCCCGUCGGGGGUCCCAAUCCGGAGCAGGCCUCUCCCUAGCACGCGUCACCAAGCGCCUGCCUCUGCCUCCGCCAUCUGGGUCUCGGCCUUACCCACCUGCCACACAGAUUUUCCAGGCCCGGCUCUCUCAUGGAAUUGGACCAGGACCCGGACCUCCUCGGCAGACCUGAGUCCGGAAGUUUUAUUACUGCUGUUUGGUGGCCUGGAUGUUCCUCGGCGCUGGAUAAAAGCAAAACUGAGUUGAAUCUGAGUGAGAGUCUAUCUUGACAGCCGUGCCCUACCCGCAGGGCCUCUCUCACCCCGCCCUCCAGCCUUCCCCUCCCGGGCAGUGUGCUGGGGGGGGGGGGCAGGGGGACAGGGACGGGGAGGGGGGUGGGUGCGGUCCUGCAGAUUUUUUUUUUUUAAUUUUUAAAAAUUUUCCCACUGUACAGCAAGGGGAUCAAGUUAUCCUUACAUGUAUACAUUACAAUUACAUUUUUCCCCCACCCUUUCUUCUGUUGCAACUUGAGUAUCUAGACAAAGUUCUCAAGGCUACUCAGCAGGAUCUCCUUGUACAUCUAUUCUAAGUUGUGUCUGUCUGAGAAGCCCAAGCUCCCGAUCCCUCCCACUCCCUCCCCCUCCCAUCGGGCAGCCACAAGUCUUUUCCUCUGGUCCUGCAGAUUUUGAAUUUCAAGUGUGAAAACCCUCCCUGGCCUUCAUCACCAGGGCUUCCUAACGACCGAAGCUUUCAUUGCCUCGAAGAUUUGUUCUUAGGCUAUUUUUAACUUGUCCUUUCUUUUUUUAAAAAAAAAUUACACCGGGGGAACUUAAGGAGCCCCAUUUAGCUUUUUAUCGGAAGAGAAAAUUUGCAGACAUGAACCAGUAAGCGCCACUGAACACGGAGGCUGGCUGGUGCGCUCGUCAAACGUCUCUCCCCUCCUCCACACAAGGGUUUAUUUUUGGACAGCAGCCUCCACACAACAUCAGGAAUCUGCCAGCCAGGGUUCAUCCUGAAUGUGAACGAAGAGGAGAUUUAGGCGAGGAGACAACUCAGGGUUGCAGGGGGCAGGCGGCCGGCAGGAGGGGAGAGCUGCUGUGGGAUGGAAGUCCUGGCCGGGCCUCUAGAAGCUGCUUUUGGCACCUCUGGCCUGCGCGCGUCUGUGCUUCUGACCCGCCCGCAGCAUGAAGGAGAGGAAACCGUGGGACUUCAAAUCCUCGUUCAUUACCGGGUGAAAUUAACACACACCCGCACACCACCCCCACCCCCAACACCAACCACAAGAGCAACCACUAAAACAACAGAAAACAAAUUUAAAAAGAGCUCAAAUGUUCAUGCAGAGCAUCCAGUACGAUGGCAAUAAGAUACAAACUAGUAGGCAUGUAGGAUAAACGGCAAGGUCUCACUGUAUAGCGUGGGGAGCCGUAUAUUCCAUAUCCUGUGAUAAACUAUAGGAAAAGAGUAUGAACAAGAAUAUAUAUAACUGAAUCGCUUGGCUGUACAGUGGACGUUAACAGUACCUUGUAAAUCAACCACAUUUUCACUAAAAACGAAACCAAAAGAUAGUAUGGCGAUAAACAUCUCAGCCACCCAUCCACACAAACCCAAGGUUCUGCCUGGGUCCAAGCUGACUCCGGAAAAAUGUUCUCAGCUGUUCUGCAGGGCAAGAGGUCCAACUCAAGAAUGAGCAUGCUGUCCCCAGCAGGGUCAGAGCCGUCAGGACACAGCCAUUUGCUCUCUGGACUUUCGAGUUAAAGUGUCACAGAGGCUUUUUCAAGCAUGAAAGUCCAGCCCCCGUCUGCUGGAUGCUCACACCUGGCUGUGCGGCUGCUCCAAAGUCCAUGGAUGACCUUCCCGGUCACGGCCCCUGCGUUCUUAGUUGGGGAUCGGCCAUGGCAAGAAGUGCUCUCUGGCCAGAAGUUUCUGCAUGCAGUUGGAGGCACAUAAAUUCUCUGUAACUUAUACUGGUGUGUGGAGGGCGAUACCGGACUUCAGCAGAGGAAAAACGUCCUCCCUGGAUCAAAAGCCCACUCUCCCUGAACCGUGCUAUUGUUAGGAGGUACCAGCCUGCAGGAUCCAUGUUAUUGCAAGCAUUCCAGGAUAUCUCAGAAGGUAGAUGUGCCUAGUCAGGGCUGGAUAAAGUGCUGUUGGACUGUCUUGGGUAAAAUGACAAGAUUUGGGGGAUGCUGAGAAAUAAAGGAGAAUUUGGAGAUUAAAAGGAAUCA